AAUGCCCAGCAGCCCACAGAUGGGGGGCGCAGCGAACCUGGCUGCACAGUCGGGGUCUGAGAUUUUCACGCACCCUCCCCUCCAUCACCGCCACCAGCCCCUGGUUAUAAAACCCCCCAGCCCCAUUUAUUAUUCAUCGGUGCGGAAUUGAAUUAAAGAAACGAGAUUGUAUUCUUUGUGUCCAGCAGCAGCAGCAGCCCAUGCAGAUAACCUCACCUCUGUGUGUGUGUGUGUUGUUGUUGUUGUUUUUUCUAAAUGAUUGAUGUGUUUUACUGUCACAGGCCAGACCAAUCCAGGAUGCGGUGUGAUGCCAGGAGAAGUCCUCAUGGUGGAUGAGCAUCAUCAUCAUCGUCGCCACCACCACCACCUCCUCCACCCUGCUCUACGCUUUUAGCCUCUUUACAGUGCUGCCUUGUCUUAUCAUGUUCAAGCAGCAUUGUACAGGGCUAUGACAGCGUCGAGAGCCGAGCUGCUCGGGCGCCCAGUUUCUCUGACCCCUUUUGAUGGAAGACAGCCAUUUACAUCAUCCAUUUAAAAAAAAUCUAACACACACACACACACACACACACACACACACACGCACAAAAUGUCGAGGAUUGCACGAGAUCUGCAGGGAUUGUGGGAAGACGGAGUGACUUGGAUCUUCACGUCCAUGCAGAUGCAGUCUCACAUCACUGCUUCUUAAAGAUCAUUGGAUGUGCAGCUCUGGGACUUCAGUGACGUGAGCAGCACAAACUGGGGCUGUAAUUGAAAAACGUCAUUGAACGUGAUUGUAUGUACACUUGCCGAGAGACCAGAAAUAUAUAAAGUACUAUCGAAACAUUUGA